rnacentral:rRNA from 1 species
CUCUUGAAAUAUUUCAAGUACCCUCUGCCCUAUGAAUAGUUUAAAUGGCCGCAGUACUUUGACUGUGCAAAGGUAGCAUAAUCACUUGUCUCUUAAUUGGGGGCUAGAAUGAAGGAGGCGACGAAACUUAGGCUAUUUAGUUUUAAAAUGAAAUUAACAUAAAGGUCAAAAGGCCUUUAUACCCCAAAGGGACGAUAAGACCCUAUAAAACUUUACUAUAUAAUAUGUUAAAUAGGCAAGAUUUAAACUAUAGUUUAGCUGGGGUGGCUUAUAUAAAAACAAUUGAAAUAAAAAUAUUUUAAAUAGAUUUAGAGAACUUUAGUAGGAAAUGAACAAGUUACUUUAGGGAUAACAGCAUAAUUCUCCCAGAGAGUCCUAAUUGGCGGGAGAGCUUAUGACCUCGAUGUUGAAUUGGGGUGUCUGGUGUAAGUAGAAAUAUARUAAGAUAGUCUGUUCGACUAUUAAACUCCC